CUAUAUGCAUGCUCUAGUGUGUACAUGUAAAAACCAAAGUACACUUUGGGCUUCAGUUAUUUGCGCAUUGAGUAGGAUAUUACGACAGCAUUUUGGAUGUAGGCUUAGAUAUGGAAAUCCACUGACAAGUGACUGACUUGACGUCAGCGAAUUGUGAGGUAAGCCAUCAGUAGAUGAGCGAGAUCUGACCUUUCUCAAUUUGAUGAGGUCUUCAUCACCUCAACGUAUAAAUUGGACAUUUUAAACGCCACUGCUUACCAGGAAAAGCUGUUAAUAUUUGGUUGAGCGAUGUCUGCAUUCCUGCAAGGAAGAAUUAGUAAAAAAAAAAGGGUUAGUUCACCCAAAAAUGAAAAUUCUGUCAUCAUUUACUCACCCUCAUGUAGUUCUGAGACCUAUGAUUUUACCUUUUCUCUGAAACAUAAAAGAUAUUUUAAAGAACACUGGUUUCUCAAAAUAUCUUUUAUUGUCCACAAAGAAAGAAAGAAAGUCAUGCAGGUUUGGAAUGACAUGAGGGUGAGUAAAAGAUGACAGAAUAUUAAUUUGGUGAACUAUGAGAUGAUAACUGCCAGAUGAUAACUGCCAAAAACAUAGACACACAUAAAUGGAAACUAAGGAUUUGAGGUGGAUCUAAUUGUAAAAGAGAAAGUUCAGUUAAAGAACGACAGGCUUUCAGGCAGGUGAAGUUACUGAGAGGAGGAGGAGGAGGAGGGCAGCGCAGAGAGGGGAAAUGGAGAUGGAUUUCCCGUAAAUCAGCUCUAUCCAAUCAGAGCGCAGCCACUCUCAACAUGGCAGCGCGCCAGCAGGAUCAAUCGUUAGAGACAAGUGUAGCUGACUAAAAGAGAGAGAGGAGGGACCGGCUGUGAUAGUGUUAGUAAACGACUGUUUGAUCUCGCACGCUUUGCUCGGUGCAUUUGAAGCUGUAUUUAAAAAAGCGAUGGCUGUACUGUAAUGGAAAGGACAGUGAGCUGACUGCCGGUCUCAUGUGAUCAUGCUGUGUGAAACCGCUCUCAGUGUGAGGAACUACAGGCUACUCGACUGCAUGACUUUCUUGCAACAUUUUUCCAUUGCUCAUGUAUGGAUUGCUGUCAGAUGGAGUUUUAUCUUCCCACAGUGCUAAUUUCAAGAUGCAGCGACCUUUGAACUCCACUGUCCCGUUCUCCCACAUGACCCAAAGAGAUAAUAAAGUUCUAAACUGCCCCGGCUCGAGCCCGGCCUCUCGCACAGAGAGCAAAGGAGGAGAGCUGGACAAAAUAGAUCACCUGAGUAUCUUCCAAAACUACUUCAGGAAUGUCAUGUGUAAAGGAACUGCCAAUUAUGAGUGGACACACAGGACGGAGAAACAAUCCAUUAUUGCACAAGCAGAGUGUGAGUCUCAGGAUUCACAGGAGUUUUGUCCCAAUGGCAGCAUCUCCUCCCAGUCGCUUCUUGGCGCUUUUUCUCGCAGUCGGCCCAGGAAGAAGCGGCAUAAGAAACAUCGGCGAAAACGGGGUGAGAAGGACAGCCGAGCGAGCGAGUCUGUGCAAGUCACCGGAGUGCCAGAACAGGACAGCGGCGAGUUCCAUUCAUCAUCUCUGAUUCAGGUUAUAGAUCCUGUGUGCAUCAGCAGCAGUAUCAAUAAUGCUACAUACAGCAGCAGUGGCCUCAGCACGGAGAGGGUGUCUGUGCAGGAAACAGAGGGCCCGUCAGACUCUUAUCAGUGGGAGCCCCAGCGGACCUCCUUACAGAGCCUCUCCUCCUGCCAGAGCUUCGGAGAUUCUCCCCUGAGAAGUGAGACUGAAUGCUCUCUGGUUUAUACGGCCCUGAGGAACUUUGUUACAACUGAAGGUUGCUGCUUUGCAUACGGCUUUGUCAAAGAUGUGAUGAGAGAGGAGAGGGAGAGGGAUGAGGACGAAAGAGAGGAGAGCGACAAGAAUGAAGGGAUCCUGUUCAAAGAGGGGCUACAGCCAGUGAAUUAUGAGUACAGAGAGGGACGGGAGUAUGAACGCUGUAGAUUCCUCAAGCAGGGCUCCUUCGGAGAAGUCUACACCAUCAAAGACAAAGGCACCGGCUUCAUGUGUGCUGCCAAAAAGGUGCCACUGGUGAGUUUCAGCUGUGAGGAGGUGGGCUCGUGGAGUGCCCUGCAGUCUCCUCAGGUGGUGGAACUCUUUGGUGUGGUGCGUGAAGGUCCUUCCAUCAUCCUUUUCAUGGACCUUAAAUCCAGUUCUUUAGGACAGCUGUUGGAGGAGCGAGGCCGCCUGCCAGAGGAUCUGUCCCUGCACUACCUUCAGCAAGUACUGGGGGCACUAAACCACCUGCAUAGGAAGCGCGUCCUUCACCUGGACAUCAAAGCUGAUAACAUUUUGCUGUCGGAAGAUGGGAAAGAUGCAUUCCUGUGUGACUUUGGAUGCUCAGAGAGAUUGGACAAACAAGGGCUUAGUUAUUGUAAGAGUCUGAAAGGCACAGAAACUCAUAUGGCACCUGAGGUGUUGCUCAAUGAGCCGCGCUCUUCAAAAGCAGACAUCUGGAGCAGCUGCUGUAUGCUUCUGCACAUGCUCAACGGCUGUCAUCCGUGGACCCGCUACUAUUCCCGCCCACUCUUCCUCAAGAUAGCAGAAGAGCCUCCGCCACUGAGGGAAAUUCCAUGUGACUGCAGCUCCUUUACAGCAGAUGUCAUAAAAGCAGGACUGCAGAAAGAUCCAAUCAAACGAGCUUCUGCCAAAGAACUUUUUGUUAAAACUGCCAAAGCACUUAAAGAAGUCGGGGGACUUCACAGCCGCGCAAGAGGAGGACCCUAUCAGAAGCCACUGGGGAAGCCAGAGAAUCCAGACCCCACUUAUUCAGCCACACCCACCACAUCCCCCCACACCACGUCCUCUGAUACCUCUGAGCUGCAGUGGAUGAGCUCGGAGCACAAGAGGAAAGCAGGUGAUGGGGAACGUAAUGAGAAGCCAGAAAAGUUAAAAGAGAGGAAACAGACAGAGGAGACAAGAAACGAUGACCACUGUCCUCCGAAGUCACUGCUCCACAUUCAAAACACUUCACCUGAGCCACGGAUCAUCAAUAAGACCGAGCCGGAGCCGGAACAAGAGCUGAGGAGACUGGAGAAAGAUUUCUACCUGAGCAGUCUUUCCCUGCCUCAUUCUGCUGAGCUACAGGAGCAGCUGCUCUCUUGUAUCUGUAGCGACUGCCCUUCCGCUAGAGAAAACUUUGACAAGAAGGAUUCAGGACGUUUUUCAGACGGUCUUGGCGAUGACCUAAGCUCAGGCGUGUUUUCUUACAAUAGCCAACAAGAUGGGCAGAGCUUCAGCAGGGACUGGCUCGCCCCCCCGCAUAAACCCCCGCCCCGCUGCUUUGACGGGGUGGAUGUUUAUAUCAGGGACUUUGACGGGAAAUGCUUUCACAUUCGGGAGACGCCCGGGGUGAAAGUAGGCCACGUUGCUAGAGGAAUCAGCGAUCAGAUCUCAGAGAACGUGUUCAGUCUGCAAACAGAAGAUGGUUGCUUGGUGCCCCAUGACAAAGAGGUCCUAGAGAACAGCCUGUUUUUGCGUUGUGUGCCGGCCCCUGACUCCAGCCACUAUCAUCAGUACAGACACAGCCACUGCUGCACGCUCGGCCCAAACUGCAAACUACCAUGGAGCUGGAGGAUCCGAGAGGGGGUGCUGGAGACCAAAGGCUGAUCUCUCCAUCCCCAAUCAGCAUUCUGUUCCAAUCAAAAUACUUUUGCAUUGAAUUUGUAUUCAUGAAUUUCAUCUGUGCCUCUCACCUUUCAAACUUUUGAGCCAUUGCCAUAUUAUUGGUUUACAUUCUUAGUAUUCUCAAGUUGUUUAACUGACUGUGCAGAUUUGCUUUUGUUGUGCUGUGUUGUGAAGAUCAUUGUGGGCCUUCAUGGAGUAAUUUGCCGAUCAAGUACAUGCUUUAAACCCUGAGCACUUAUGAAUUAGUUUUCAAUGUCAGUAUGGUUUACCUGUGGGACAUAAAGAUGCAAUAAUCAUUGAUCUCCUCUCUUAGAAUGUUUUAACUGUGUUUCAAAGAAUCCUUCAAUAAAUUUUGUAAACAUUA